UACGUAGGGUGCAAGCGUUAAUCGGAAUUACUGGGCGUAAAGCGUGCGCAGGCGGUUUUGCAAGACCGAUGUGAAAUCCCCGGGCUUAACCUGGGAAUGGCAUUGGUGACUGCAUCGCUGGAGUGCGGCAGAGGGGGAUGGAAUUCCGCGUGUAGCAGUGAAAUGCGUAGAUAUGCGGAGGAACACCGAUGGCGAAGGCAAUCCCCUGGGCCUGCACUGACGCUCAUGCACGAAAGCGUGGGGAGCAAACAGG
rnacentral:rRNA from 1 species